rnacentral:rRNA from 1 species
AUUGAACGCUGGCGGCAGGCCUAACACAUGCAAGUCGAGCGGAUGAUGGUAGCUUGCUACUGAUCUUAGCGGCGGACGGGUGAGUAAUGCUUAGGAAUCUGCCUAUUAGUGGGGGACAACAUUUCGAAAGGAAUGCUAAUACCGCAUACGUCCUACGGGAGAAAGCAGGGGAUCUUCGGACCUUGCGCUAAUAGAUGAGCCUAAGUCGGAUUAGCUAGUUGGUGGGGUAAAGGCCUACCAAGGCGACGAUCUGUAGCGGGUCUGAGAGGAUGAUCCGCCACACUGGGACUGAGACACGGCCCAGACUCCUACGGGAGGCAGCAGUGGGGAAUAUUGGACAAUGGGCGGAAGCCUGAUCCAGCCAUGCCGUGUGUGUGAAGAAGGCCUUAUGGUUGUAAAGCACUUUAAGCGAGGAGGAGGCUACUUUAGUUAAUACCUAGAGAUAGUGGACGUUACUCGCAGAAUAAGCACCGGCUAACUCUGUGCCAGCCGCCGCGGUAACAC